GAUGAACGCUGGCGGCGUGCCUAAUACAUGCAAGUCGAGCGAACAGACGAGGAGCUUGUUCCUCUGACGUUAGCGGCGGACGGGUGAGUAACACGUGGAUAACCUACCUAUAAGACUGGGAUAACUUCGGGAAACCGGAGCUAAUACCGGAGAAUAUAUUGAACCGCAUGGUUCAAUAGUGAAAGACGGUUUUGCUGUCACGUAUAGCUGGAUCCGCGCCGCAUUAGAUAGUUGGUAAGGUAACGGCUUAUCAAGGCGACGAGGCGUAGACGACCUGAGGGAGGGGUAGGCCGCCUGAGAGGGGAGACGGGCACCAGACUCCUGCGAGACGGAGCAGAAGGGAAUCUGCGGCAAUGGGGGAGAGCCUGGCAGAGCAGGCGGGCGUCAGAUGUAAAGAUCUUCGGAUCGUGAAGAUCGGUUAUGGGGGGAAAACAAAUGUGUAAGGAGCUGUGCAGGUAUUGACGGUACCGAGUAAAGAAGCCCCGGCUAACUACGUG
rnacentral:rRNA from 1 species